rnacentral:rRNA from 1 species
AUUGAACGCUGGCGGCAUGCCUUACACAUGCAAGUCGAACGGUAACGGGCCUUCGGGUGCCGACGAGUGGCGAACGGGUGAGUAAUGUAUCGGAACGUACCUUUCAGUGGGGGAUAACGUAGCGAAAGUUACGCUAAUACCGCAUAUUCUGUGAGCAGGAAAGCAGGGGAUCGCAAGACCUUGCGCUGAUUGAGCGGCCGAUGUCAGAUUAGCUAGUUGGUGGGGUAAAGGCCUACCAAGGCGACGAUCUGUAGCGGGUCUGUGAGGAUGAUCCGCCACACUGGAACUGAGACACGGUCCAGACUCCUACGGGAGGCAGCAGUGGGGAAUUUUGGACAAUGGGGGCAACCCUGAUCCAGCCAUGCCGCGUGAGUGAAGAAGGCCUUCGGGUUGUAAAGCUCUUUCGGCCGGGAAGAAAUCGCAUGGGCUAGUACCCUGUGCGGAUGACGGUACCGGCAUAAGAAGCACCGGCUAACUACGUGCCAGCCGCCGCCGUAAUAC